CGCGUAGGCGGUUAGUUAAGUCGGAUGUGAAAGCCCUGGGCUCAACCUGGGAACUGCAUUCGAUACUGGCUGUUUAGAGUAUGGUAGAGGGAAGUGGAAUUUCCGGUGUAGCGGUGAAAUGCGUAGAUAUCGGAAGGAACACCAGUGGCGAAGGCGGCUUCCUGGACCAAUACUGACACUGAGGUACGAAAGCGUGGGUAGCAAACAGGAUUAGAUACCCUGGUAGUCC
rnacentral:rRNA from 1 species